CAAAUCCCUCGUUUGGAUGCCACAGCUGGAAUGGCGCUCCCACACCUUUCACUUUCUAUCCUCGGAGCAGGAAUCUUUUGAGGCUUGAGUCCUGCGGCGGCGAAGGGCGGGCGUGCGGGCGUCUGGGAGAGGCGGAGGGAGAGCGCGAGUCCCGGGCGGCGGGUGGAAAGCCUUCGGCACCACCUGUGUGGUAACCAGUGCAACAGGUAAACGCGAACGCAAUUUAUUACCAGGUGUAAGUGGCCUGGAUGGGGCGCCGUGCGAGGCCUUGUGUGCUCUGUCCUUAUCACACUCACCCAAGUGCGCGCGCCCCGACGCCGCUGCCAGGCGCAAGACUCGCCGGGGGUCCUGGAGGAUCCUACGGCCGCAGGAGAACUCUUCUACCCCGCCCUUCCCGAAUUUCAAGUAGGACCUAUCCUUCUCGCGUUAAUUUACCCCUUAUGAAUGACACGUGAUUAACAAUAACGACGGGAAAGGGAUAAGGAGAGCGAACGCAAAGGAUAAGAGCGAGGCCGGGAAGAGAUGUUGGCUGAGGUGCGGGUUAUGAGCAUGUGGAGUUUCGGGAGCAUAGUUGGCUCUGUCUCGCUCCGCUGUGGCCACGAUUCCGUCAGUCCGCCGUGUGGAGGCGCUUCCUCCACUUCUGCAGAUCCGUACUUAUAUAUAUUUACAUAUAAAGGCUUCAUAUAUUCAUACAAUAUUACCGUUUCAUCUCUCGUUCGUUGAAGACUCUGAAACUCGGACAAUGGCUCGUAGAUAUCGAAGUGUAAACAGGAUGAAGAAUGUGUUUAUCACCAUACACUGUAGCACGGAAGCUGUAUCAACAAUGACUUGAUAGAUUCCCUGUCCCCGAAGAUAUUAGAAUAUGGCGUGCAUUCCCGUAGAUUUAUGUAGCGGGAAGGCCAAGUCAGAGAAGAUGGAGAUCGAAACCUUGACUGUGUUUUUCUCUACUGGAAAUAUAGAUUCUUGAAUAUUUUGAACGGAACAGAUAAAAAGUGAAAGGUUAGAAAGGAAAAAAGUGAAUAGGAGGGGUAGAAAAUUAUUUUUUCUGUGAUUAAAUGAGUGAUUAAUUCAAUGUCUCCGAUUUAAUCUCAGUGGUGGUGCGGGGUUAUCAGUUAGUAAAUAGAGGAUGAGGGGAAAGAGAGUGGUGAUGACCCAGAUGAAAGAGGAGAGGAAAUCACACGAUGCCUGUUUCGUAAUUGCGGCUUUAAUACAGGUGAAGCAAGAGAGAAAAUCGGGUGAUGAGUAAUUCAGGUGUGUGGCUGAUGCGAAGGAAAUAGGAAGA